rnacentral:rRNA from 1 species
AUUGAACGCUGGCGGCAGGCCUAACACAUGCAAGUCGAACGAGUGGCGGACGGGUGAGUAAUGUCUGGGAAACUGCCUGAUGGAGGGGGCUAACUACUGGAAACGGUAGCUAAUACCGCAUACCAUCGGAUGUGCCCAUAUGGGAUUAGCUAGUAGGGUGGGUAAAGGCUCACCUAGGCGACGUUCCCUAGCUGGUCUGAUAGGAUGACCAGCCACACCGGAACUGAGACACGGUCCGCAUUCCUACGGGAGGGAGCAGUGGGGAAUAGUGCACAAUGGGCGCAAGCCUGAUGCAGCCAUGCCGCGUGUAUGAAGAAGGCAGUCGGGUUGUAAAGUACGUUCAGCGGGGAGGCGUUACCCGCAGAAGAAGCACCGGCUAACUCCGUGCCAGCAGCCGCGGUAAUAC